GCCAUGAGAUUUAUUGUUUGUCCAGAUUCAAUUUUAAGAGUUUUGAUUACAAUAAUUUUCCUAGCUAAAUUUGUCGGAGGAUCUCUUUACGUUCCAACGUUUACGAAUAAGUAGACAUUCCGAUAAGCUUAAAGGACAAAAUGGAAAAGGAAAAUACAGACAAGGAAAUCCCCAUGAACAAAUUAAUCGCCUGGUUCACCCAGGAACAGUGCGUGCUUUGCAUGCAGCCAAAGCGGGAUCCCAAAUUCGUGCCCUGUGGCCACUCUUUUUGCGGGAAAUGUGCCACCCAGAUUAUACUCUACAAUAGUUCAGACACAAAUCCCCACUGUCCGUUGUGCCCUCUGAUAUAUCACGAUACAACUUAAACUAGAUGGUUUGAAUGGAUGGUGGGUGAUAUGGGGGGUGCAAAUUUGUUGACGACAAUAAAUGUUAUGUUCUCAAAAUCGCAUCAACAUCGUUUUUGAAGAUAUUCCAAGCCCAAAUGGCAAUCAGAAUCGGACAGAUAAGGCUCUCCGCCUCAUCGAGUCGGUUAGCAGAGCGACUUCCGCAGAAUCGGAUUCAGCUUGUCGGACCAAACAUUGAUCAGGUUGCUGUUGCUGUUGAAGAAAGCAGAAGACCAUAGUCUGAUUUACGAUGCGAAAGAUUACGAGGUACGAGGUACGAGGUUUGGCGCAGCAGAUCCGGCUAGCUGUUUAUGAUGCACUCCUCGCAAUUCACAUUCACUGUGCUAUUGCUAGCCUCGUGUAUGUUGAGAAGCAGGUUCUUCUUGUUCAUCAGAUCAGAUUCUCUUGUCUAUUUAGAUGUAGCUCUGUCUGUUUAAUAAUUCACAUAACAUAUAUUAAAGCUAACGAGACUUUGAAUUUCUUGACAAAUUAUCGAAUGUACGGAAGUACUAUCGAUAAGAAAAGUGCAAAAAUACUCGAGUGUCUAAUUCACAGGAAUAAAAAACUACCGAAUGUUUUUUCAAUUAGCAUAUCGAUAUACAUAUUUUCAUUUUAGAUACCAUUGAGCGCCAAAUUUAAAUACGAUACCAAUUAAUGAGUAAUCAUUUGUUAAUCAUUUAUUAAAUACUAUUUGAUUUAGAGAUAAAGAGAGUAUGGACUCUAUUAAUCCGUGAAAAUUUGAGAUUGAUGCCUGCAAGAAAGCAUUUUGGCUGGUUAUUUACGGUGGCUAUGUACCACAUAUUUGGAAAAUAAGAAGCUACCUUAGUUGUCUGAAGAAGUUGAUUUUUUUGCGAUACUCGGUUUCUAGAUCUUUCGAGUGGUGAUCAUCCAUGAAUUUGAAUUGGCUCGAGGAUAUGCUGUAAAAUGGGUUGACUGGUCGGCGGCAGAAAUCCGGGUCGGGUAUGUCCUUUUCGGCGAUACAUUGUCGCAAUUUGGAACUGUGCGAUGACCGGCUGUAGUCCUUGGUAUAGACUGAAAUAUGAGGGGCUUGA